rnacentral:lncRNA from 1 species
GGCUAGUGGUUAUACUCCAGGACUUAUCUGGUCCUGGAUAUAACCACUGCCAGACUGAAUGGUGCUAAAGAGAAGGGAGAGUGGAGAGUGCUGUGUCACUGUCAGCAGACAGAGCCAGUGGAAACACAUGAAGGAGGGUGCCAAGACAUGAAUCAGCAUCACCUAAUGGAUCUUUAAAGUUACUGCAGGAUUUCAUGUCCAUGCCUAGGUAACCCAGUGUGGACAAAUUGAGGAAUGAAUCAGCUGCACUGAUAGUGAUCUCCAAGGAUCUGAUAUCUAUGUCUAGAUAAGUGAUCUCUCUCCUGAUUGGAUCUGACUUCAUUCUCUAUUUGAAUACACCUUCUCAAUCAAUCAGAAGCAAGAAGAGCAAAUAAAUUUAUCUGCAGGAGAAGAUUUGAUCAGUCAGGCUGCUGGUGAUUCUCCAGGACUUAUCUGGUCCUGGAUAUAACCACUGCCAGACUGAAUGGUGCUAAAGAGAAGGGAGAGUGCUUGUGUCACUGUCAGCAGACACAGCCAGUGGAAAGCUGGGAAGGCUGUGCUUGUUUAUUCAGAGUCUCCAUGCAUUGAUUGCUUAGCUCCAUGUUUUUGAUAGUAGCUGUCACCCUAUAGGAAAUUCAGCUAUCUGAUUUGAAGUGUGUUUUACUUUUAUCAGUCAUGAAUGUUUGUGUCUUCUUCAAAGAAGAUACAAGAUUCAAACUUCAGCUUAUGGCACAGACUAGGGAAUAUCUGACAUAUUCAGAUCUUUUGUUUGGCUCCUGUGGGAACAACUGUUGUAGCAAAUAUCACCAAUUAACCACCAUGAAACCUCUGAAAAGGCCAUAGUUAGAUCAUACAGUACCCAGAGUCAAAUUACUCUUCAUACAGUGAUAGUAACCUGUUGGCAUUAAUGGCAGGAGGCAUUUUUAGAUACAACCACAAUUUAUCAUGUUAUUAUUGUUUUAAUUUACUAGAUUGUCUAGGUGGUCAUUUUUCCAAGUCAGUUUUUUUGCUAAAUUACAGUUCAGGGGAUCAUGACCCGUUACAGGAAUCACUGCAUUAUAUUUUGAUUAUCUACACCUUGGUAUUACAACAUGUAACAGGAGAAAAUGGACAGUUAUUUUCACUGUGACCUUGUACUAGUGAAUACCUCUAGACCUAUGCUUUUCUGCUUAUUUGCAUUCUGUCUUUAGAGAUCUAUACUUUGUGAUAUAACAUGGAUAUAUAUGAAACUGUCUUGCUGUGUUGAUGAUAUUCCUGACUGUCUUAGUCAGGGUUUCUAUUCCUGCACAAACAUCAUGACCAAGAAACAAGUUGGGGAGGAAA